UUAGCCAGCAAUAGGUGUGAGUGCGAGUUGACCCAACUUGAUUAGAACUCUUCUAAUCGAUUUAAGUCCAAACUGCGCGAACCCGAACUUAACAAUUAGAAUCCUUUCUAAUUGGUGAUCGAAUUAAACUCUUUAAUUCGAUCAAACCUAUAAGACAAGAUUGACGUCUAGCAACGUGUCAUGUCUAUCCGGAAAAUAUGGAAUUUGGUGAAAAUACCAAAAAUACCCUUCAGUGGCAAGUUACCAUGCAAUUCAAUCCUUUAAUCAAACUGCAUCCCAAAUAUGUAUAUGAGUAUGAAUAUAUGUCAAACUCAAUUUCAUAUUCAUAUUUUUCUUAAUCUUUUAAUGAUAAUUCAAAUAAUGAAACAUUAGAAACUCUUUCUAAUUUUCAUUCUGCUUUGAUCAAAGGCUUGCUGAAUU
rnacentral:lncRNA from 1 species